rnacentral:rRNA from 1 species
CCUACGGGGGACAGCAGUGGGGAAUCUUGGGCAAUGGGCGCAAGCCUGACCCAGCAACGCCGCGUGAAGGCAGAAGGCUUUCGGGUUGUACACUUCUUUUCUGAGGGACGAAGAAAGUGACGGUACCUCAGGAAUAAGCCACGGCUAACUACGUGCCAGAAGCCGCGGUAAUACGUAGGAGGCAAGCGUUAUCCGGAUUUAUUGGGGGUAAAGGGCGUGUAGGCGGGAAAGCAAGUCAGAUGUGAAAACUCAGGGCUCAACCCUGAGCCUGCAUUUGAAACUGUUGUUCUUGAGUGCUGGAGAGGCAAUCGGAAUUCCGAGUGUAGCGGUGAAAUGCGUAGAUAUACGGAGGAACACCAGUGGCGAAGGCGGAUUGCUGGACAGUAACUGACGCUGAGGCGCGAAAGCGUGGGGAGCAAACAGGAUUAGAUACCCUUGUAGUC